AGUUAAUACUAUUUAUACUAGUAUUUAUUUAUUUAUUUAUGUUAUUUCAUUCUUCUUCAUGUAAACAAAAUUUGGACAAACAUGGUACUUGGAAGUUGGAACAUAUACAUAAAAAUAAGUAGUUUAAGGUUUAAAGCAUGCACUAGUCACAAUCUCAUUUCAUACAAAUCACAGCAUGAGUGGAUUACUGCGUUCGUAACAAGGAACAUAUGCAUCUAUCAAAUCAUGAUAUAUAACACAAAGUUUGAUCUUGUUUUUGUUAGUACUGUUGACAUCAGAAGCACUAGAAGUAUCAAUCAUAUCACAACCAGGGAAGAGUGGAGAUGAAUCUGUCCUAUCAUGAGAUAAUGUAAUCAUUGCAGAAUCCAGCCAAUUUCUGACUAAAGCUGCUUCCCCUUCCUUGUUAUCACACAUUGUAAAAUGGGAGCAAACCAAGGUGCACUGGUUUAAUGGCAAUGGCCAAAAGCAAGGGUGGAGACACCAAGGAAAGAAUAGGAGAGAAAAAAAGUUAAGUGGUUUCUCAGCUUUUUGAGAUUUCAGGUUAACCAAAGGUGACAACUGCACACAUCCUAUCAGAUGUCUCAUUUGUUGUUCCCAGAUUUAUGAAUGAUGAUGUCAAAUAAACCUAUGGCAGUGUGAUGCACAACCUCUGUUACAUUGGUUCCUGCACUUGCCCUUCAAUUGAAGCUUUGCUUGAAAGUUAAAAGAAAUUGUUUAUAUUAUCUAAUCAUAUAUAUAGUUCUUUAAAAACUUUGGUAUUUGUUAGCGUUUUUGUUUUGUUUUUUUUUCAAAAUGUUUUUUUUUUUUUAAUAAUGUGUCAUCACACAUACUUUCUAAGAUCUCAAUUAUGCACGAGCAGGGAGUCCUCCCUUAGACUUCUCUAUGGGAGUUAAAUGUUUUAUCUACUCGGCCAUUGUGUUGGUGGCUAAAUGCUCUUUAAACAUAAGUUUCUUUCAUUUAUUCAAAUUUUUUUUCUUUGGAUGAAAGGGUAAAUCUUAUGUUGUUGUUUGUAAUUAUCAUCAUUAAAGAUAAAAUUGAAGUUGUAUAUAUAUACAGUGCAAAAGUAAGUGCACCAGUAUAAUGGUCAAGCUGUAAAGCAUUUGAUAUUCAUACAGGAGGUCGAGGAUUUCACUUUC